rnacentral:rRNA from 1 species
CCUACGGGGGGCUGCAGUGGGGAAUAUUGGACAAUGGGGGGAACCCUGAUCCAGCCAUGCCGCGUGUGUGAAGAAGGCCCUCGGGUUGUAAAGCACUUUCAGUGAGGAAGAACGCCUGGUGGUUAAUACCCAUCAGGAAAGACAUCACUCACAGAAGAAGCACCGGCUAACUCCGUGCCAGCAGCCGCGGUAAUACGGAGGGUGCGAGCGUUAAUCGGAAUUACUGGGCGUAAAGCGCGCGUAGGUGGCUUGAUAAGCCGGUUGUGAAAGCCCCGGGCUCAACCUGGGAACGGCAUCCGGAACUGUCAAGCUAAAGUGCAGGAGAGGAAGGUAGAAUUCCCGGUGUAGCGGUGAAAUGCGUAGAGAUCGGGAGGAAUACCAGUGGCGAAGGCGGCCUUCUGGACUGACACUGACACUGAGGUGCGAAAGCGUGGGUAGCAAACAGGAUUAGAUACCCCUGUAGUC